ACGCUGGCGGCGUGCCUAACACAUGCAAGUCGAGCGGAGAAUGCGGACAUGUUUACAUAGAAGCAUUCUUAGCGGCGGACGGGUGAGUAACACGUGGGUAACCUGCCUCAAAGAGGGGGAUAGCCUUCCGAAAGGAAGAUUAAUACCGCAUAAGCCUGCAGUACCGCAUGGUACAGCAGGAAAAGGAGCAAUCCGCUUUGAGAUGGACCCGCGGCGCAUUAGCUAGUUGGUGAGGUAACGGCUCACCAAGGCGACGAUGCGUAGCCGACCUGAGAGGGUGAUCGGCCACAUUGGAACUGAGACACGGUCCAGACUCCUACGGGAGGCAGCAGUGGGGAAUAUUGCACAAUGGGCGAAAGCCUGAUGCCAGCAACGCCGCGUGAAUGAUGAAGGCCUUCGGGUCGUAAAGUUCUUUGAUCAGGGAUGAUAAUGACAGUACCUGAAAAACAAGCCACGGCUAACUACGUGCCAGCAGCCGC
rnacentral:rRNA from 1 species